rnacentral:rRNA from 1 species
UACAGAGGCCCCAAGCGUUACUGAGAAUCACUGGGUUUAAAGGGUGCGUAGGUGGUCCGUUAAGUUCGUUGUGAAAUCCCUGGGCUCAACCCAGGAAUUGCUUCGAAUACUGGCGGACUUGAGGCCAGUAGAGGUCACUGGAACUGACGGUGGAGCGGUGAAAUGCGUAGAUAUCGUCAGGAACGCCGGUGGUGAAGACGGGUGACUGGGCUGGUUCUGACACUGAGGCACGAAAGCGUGGGGAGCAAACGGG